AAGAUUUUAAGUUAAAUAAACUAAUAGUCUUCAAAGCUGUCAAUGAAUAAAAAUAUUCAAAUCUUA
rnacentral:tRNA from 1 species